CCAAUAGCGUAUAUUAAAGUUGCUGCAGUUAAAAAGCUCGUAGUUGAAUUUCGGGAUCAAUUUACUGGUCGUGCCUACGGUACGUACUGGUAUUGUUGGUUCCUCCUUUCUGAGGAGCCGCGAUGUCAUUAACUUGGUGUCGCGGGGAGUCAGGACUGUUACUUUGAAAAAAUUAGAGUGUUUAAAGCAAGCUAACGCUUGAAUACAUUAGCAUGGAAUAAUGAAAUAGGACGUUUGAUCCUAUUUUGUUGGUUUCUAGGGUCGACGUAAUGAUUAAUAGGGAUAGUUGGGGGCAUUAGUAUUCAAUUGUCAGAGGUGAAAUUCUUGGAUUUAUUGAAGACUAACUACUGCGAAAGCAUUUGCCAAGGAUGUUUUCAUUAAUCAAGAACGAAAGUUAGGGGAUCGAAGACGAUCAGAUACCGUCGUAGUCUUAACCAUAAACUAUGCCGACUAGGGAUCGGAUGAUGUUAAUUUUUUAAUGACUCAUUCGGCGCCUUACG
rnacentral:rRNA from 1 species